rnacentral:rRNA from 1 species
CAGUCGCCGCGGUAAUACAGAGGUCUCAAGCGUUGUUCGGAUUCAUUGGGCGUAAAGGGUGCGUAGGUGGCUUGGUAAGUUGAAGGUGAAAUCUCGGGGCUUAACUCCGGAACUGCAUCCGAUACUGCCAUGCUAGAGGAUUGGAGAGGUAGCUGGAAUUCUUGGUGUAGCAGUGAAAUGCGUGGAGAUCAAGAGGAACACUCGUGGCGAAAGCGAGCUACUGGACAAUAACUGACGCUGAGGCUCGAAGGCCAGGGUAGCGAAAGGGACUAGAUACCCCGGUAGUCCCUGUCUCUUAUAC